GCGCCCCGUAAAACGGGACGGCCCGCCAGAGGACCCAAACUCUAAUGUUUCUUAUUGUAACUUCUGAGUAAAACAAACAAAUAAAUCAAAACUUUCAACAACGGAUCUCUUGGUUCUGGCAUCGAUGAAGAACGCAGCAAAAUGCGAUAAGUAAUGUGAAUUGCAGAAUUCAGUGAAUCAUCGAAUCUUUGAACGCACAUUGCGCCCGCUGGUAUUCCGGCGGGCAUGCCUGUUCGAGCGUCAUUUCAACCCUCAAGCCCCCGGGUUUGGUGUUGGGGAUCGGCUCUGCCUCACGGCGGUGCCGCCCCCGAAAUACAUUGGCGGUCUCGCUGCAGCCUCCAUUGCGUAGUAGCUAACACCUCGCAACUGGAACGCGGCGCGGCCAUGCCGUAAAACCCCAACUUCUGAAUGUUGACCUCGGAUCAGGUAGGAAUACCCGCUGAACUUAAGCAUAUCAUAGCCGGAGGAA
rnacentral:rRNA from 1 species